CAAAUGGGUGAUUUGAAUGUG
rnacentral:siRNA from 1 species